AUUGAAGUCAAAUAUUUUGAGUUUGGGGCAGCUUCUGGAGAAAGGAUAUGAGAUAAAUCUGAAGAAUCAUGCACUUAUGGUACGAGACAACAAAGGCAAUCUAAUUGCUAAAGUGAGAAUGGCCAAGAACAGAAUGUUUUCUCUACAGAUCCAGUCAGAUUGUGUGAAGUGUUUGAAGGCCUGUACAUCAGAUUCUUCUUGGCUUUGGCAUUUGAGAAUAGGCCACUUGAAUUUUGAUAGUUUGAAGUUGCUGGCAAAGAAGAGGAUGGUGCGUGGACUUCCAUUUAUUGAUCAUUCACAUCAGUUUUGUGAAGGAUGCAUAUAUGGGAAGCAAUUCA
rnacentral:misc_RNA from 1 species